rnacentral:rRNA from 1 species
UGCGUAGGCGGACUAAUAAGUCAGUGGUGAAAUCUCUCGGCUCAACCGGGAAACUGCCAUUGAUACUGUUAGUCUUGAGUUCGGUUGAGGUAGGCGGAAUGUGUAAUGUAGCGGUGAAAUGCAUAGAUAUUACACAGAACACCAAUUGCGUAGGCAGCUUACUAGACCGACACUGACGCUGAGGCACGAAAGCGUGGGUAGCGAACAGGAUUAGAUACCCUGGUAGUCC